rnacentral:rRNA from 1 species
AAUGAACGCUGGCGGCAUCCCUAACACACGCAAGUCGAACGAGCUCUCUGGGUCUCGUGGCGCUCCGAUGAGUAACCCCUGGGCACAUGACCUUAGGUUCGGAUCAACACCUCGAAUGGCGCUCCACUCACGGGCAUACUCAUUGGACCCAUGAGUCAUCCCCCUGGGAUGGCCUGGCGCUGGAUUACCUAGUUGGUAGUGUAAAAGCCUACCAAGGCGACGACCCUUAGCUGGUCUGAGAGGAUGAUCAGCCACACUGGUACUGAUACACGGCCCAGACUCCUACGGGAGGCAGCAAUGGGGAAUAUUGGACAAGGGACGACAGCCGGAUCCAGCAAUGCCGCGUAAGUGAUGAAGGCCUUAGGGUUGUAAGGCUCUUUUACCCGGGAUGAUAAUGACAGUACCGGGAGAAUAAGCUCCGGCUAACUCCGUG